CGUAGGUGGCAAGCGUUGUCCGGAUUUAUUGGGUUUAAAGGGUGCGUAGGCGGUCUUCUAAGUCAGUUGUGAAAUACUUCAGCUUAACUGGAGAGGUGCAAUUGAUACUGGGAGGCUUGAGUACUGAUGAGGUAGGCGGAAUGGACGGUGUAGCGGUGAAAUGCUUAGAUAUCGUCCAGAACACCGAUAGCGAAGGCAGCUUACUAAGGAGUAACUGACGCUGAGGCACGAAAGUGUGGGGAUCAAACAGGAUUAGAUACCCUGGUAGUCCACACUGUAAACGAUGAUUACUCGAUGUUGGCGAUACACAGCCAGCGUCUUAGCGAAAGCGAUAAGUAAUCCACCUGGGGAGUACGCCGGCAACGGUG
rnacentral:rRNA from 1 species